rnacentral:rRNA from 1 species
AGUGAACGCUGGCGGUAGGCCUAACACAUGCAAGUCGAACGGCAGCACAGGAGAGCUUGCUCUCUGGGUGGCGAGUGGCGGACGGGUGAGGAAUACAUCGGAAUCUACUCUGUCGUGGGGGAUAACGUAGGGAAACUUACGCUAAUACCGCAUACGACCUACGGGUGAAAGCAGGGGACCUUCGGGCCUUGCGCGAUUGAAUGAGCCGAUGUCGGAUUAGCUAGUUGGCGGGGUAAAGGCCCAACAAGGCGACGAUCCGUAGCUGGUCUGAGAUGAUGAUCAGCCACGCUGGAACUGAGACACGGUCCAGACUCCUACGGGAGGCAGCAGUGGGGAAUAUUGGACAAUGGGCGCAAGCCUGAUCCAGCCAUACCGCGUGGGUGGAGAAGGCCUUCGGGUUGUAAAGCCCUUUUGUUGGGAAAGAAAUCCAGCUGGCUAAUACCCGGUUGGGAUGACGGUACCCAAAGAAUAAGCACCGGCUAACUUCGUGCCAGCCGCCGCGGUAA